rnacentral:rRNA from 1 species
GGCAGACGGGUGAGUAACAUGUAGGUAUCUUCCCUUUGGUGAGGAAUAACACGAGGAAACUUGUGCUAAUACCUCAUAAGUCUUUACGGAGAAAGCUUUAUGCGCCAUUGGAUGAGCCUGCACUUGAUUAGUUUGUUGGUGGGGUAAUGGCCUACCAAGACAAUGAUCAAUAGCUGAUUUGAGAGGAUGAUCAGCCACAUUGGGACUGAGACACGGCCCAAACUCCUACGGGAGGCAGCAGUAGGGAAUCUUGCACAAUGGGGGAAACCCUGAUGCAGCGAUGCCGCGUGAGUGAAGAAGGCCUUUGGGUUGUAAAGCUCUUUCGUCGGGGAAGAAAAUGACUGUACCCGAAUAAGAAGGUCCGGCUAACUUCGUGCCAGCAGCCGCGGUAAUACGAAGGGACCUAGCGUAGUUCGGAAUUACUGGGCUUAAAGAGUUCGUAGGUGGUUAAAAAAGUUGGUGGUGAAAUCCCAGAGCUUAACUCUGGAACUGCCAUCAAAACUUUUUAGCUAGAGUAUGAUAGAGGAAAGCAGAAUUUCUAGUGUAGAGGUGAAAUUCGUAGAUAUUAGAAAGAAUACCAAUUGCGAAGGCAGCUUUCUGGAUCAUUACUGACACUGAGGAACGAAAGCAUGGGUAGCGAAGAGGAUUAGAUACCCUCGUAGUCCAUGCCGUAAACGAUGUGUGUUAGACGUUGGAAAUUUAUUUUCAGUGUCGCAGCGAAAGCAAUAAACACACCGCCUGGGGAGUACGACCGCAAGGUUAAAACUCAAAUGAAUUGACGGGGACCCGCACAAGUAGUGGAGCAUGUGGUUUAAUUCGAAGAUACGCGCAGAACCUUACCAACACUUGACAUGUUCGUCGCGACUUUAAGAGAUUAAAGUUUUCGGUUCGGCCGGGCGAAACACAGGUGCUGCAUGGCUGUCGUCAGCUCGUGUCGUGAGAUGUUGGGUUAAGUCCCGCAACGAGCGCAACCCUCACUUUUAGUUGCCAUCAUUCAGUUGGGCACUCUGAAAGAACUGCCAGUGAUAAGCUGGAGGAAGGUGGGGAUGACGUCAAGUCCUCAUGGCCCUUACGUGUUGGGCUACACACGUGCUACAAUGGCAUUUACAAUAGGAAGCAAGACGGCGACGUUUAGCAAAUCCUAAAAAAAUGCCUCAGUUCGGAUUGUACUCUGCAACUCGAGUACAUGAAGCUGGAAUUACUAGUAAUCGCGGAUCAGCGCGCCGCGGUGAAUACGUUCCCGGGUCUUGUACACACCGCCCGUCACACCAUGGGAGUUGGUUCUACCUUAA